AUUCAUGGAUGAUCAGUUUUGUCAUUUAUUGGUCUUUUUUCCCUUUUUUAUUUAAUCUUUUCUUUCUUUCAGUGAGAUAUAAAGCCAUAGAAUACACCCAUGCCACUCAAAUUCAGCCAGUCAAAAUGAUGGGAAGGAUUGCAGAACUGAGUUUCACUCUCACCUGACUGAUGUAGAUUCAGUAACCUAAUUGCUCAUGAUGGUUUCUGAGAAAAAAAAACAGCUUGGUGUAAUUUGACAGUAUUUUUCAGUAUUUGACAGUGGUUCUAUCAUGCAACAGUCAUACCAUGAAGUGUCUCACAGAUUCUCUCUCAAUUCCUGCAAUAUCCAAGAUGACAGUGUAGUGCAAAGAGGAUUAAUUUUCUUGCAAUAAAAAGUAUUUGCACUUCCAAAUACCCUAGUACAGCAUGAACAGUUUCUUCAUUUUGUGAGUGAUUAUAGAGUGAAAAUGUUUCCAUAUAAAAUGUUGUCUUUUUAUGUGUAAAACUUCACAUGUUAUGAAUGGUUACAAAUACAUGCAUGGACAUUUUGAUUCCAAAUCUAUGCACAUUUUG